CCAAGACUACUCAUAUCAACACUUAGGUUGGUCCGGAACAACAUUUCUUAGGCAUCAUUUUUCGCCUGGGAAUUAGAGGCUGGAAUUGUCCCAAUUCCUUGUUUCCGGUUACAAAAUUGUGCACCAAAUUCGUCGACAUUAAAAAAUUUUACCAGCCCAAUUUCUUCCCAAAAUGGACUUUCAAAAUCUCAUUUGAAGGGAUGGAUUGACCAAUUCCCACUCAUUUUUUACAGAGUCCCCAAAAACCCAUCACUCACAUCCAAAGAAAAUGAAAGAACACGACGUCGAUCCCACACCCAACUCGUCGUCAAUCCCAACCCAACUCAUCAUCAAUCUCCUCUCCCCCUCUAAACUCGUCGUUGAUCCCAUACCCAGCUCAUCGUCGAUCCCACACCCAACUCGUCGUCGAUCUACUCUCCCCCUCUGAACUCGUCGUCAACGUCGAUCUCCUCUCCCAUCUGAACUCGUCGUCGAUAUCGGUCUCCUCUCCCCCCCCCCCCCCCCCCCCCCCCCCGAUCUCUUCGUCGUUGUCGAUCUCCUCUACCCCGAGCUCAUCGUCGACUUGGGUUUUCCAAUUUAGGUCCUUUGUACAAUUACUUUUAGGGUUUUCCGAUUUGAGCUGAGAUUUAGCCUUUUUAUAUAGGAGGUGGAGAAGAUAAUCAUUGCUUGAAGGGAAGGGAAGGCAAGGAUAAACGAUCGAUGGAAGGGAAGAUUUGGUUUUAUUGUUUGCGUUUUUCUUUUGUCGAAAAAGGAAGAAGAUGAAGGAAUAAAAGAUAAAAUAAGGGUAUU
rnacentral:lncRNA from 1 species